rnacentral:rRNA from 1 species
UGAGGAACAUGACCUUCGGCGGGGGAUAGCCGGCCCAACGGCCGGGUAAUACCGCGUACGACCACAUGGGGACAUGCCUGAGUGGUGAAAGCAGCAAUGCGCCGAUGGAGUGCCUCGCGGCCUAUCAGCUAGUUGGUGAGGUAACGGCUCACCAAGGCGACGACGGGUAGCUGGUCUGAGAGGAUGGCCAGCCACAUUGGGACUGAGACACGGCCCAGAUCCGUACGGGG